rnacentral:rRNA from 1 species
CCCUUAGAUGUUCUGGGCCGCACGCGCGCUACAAUGAUGAAUUCAACGAGUUUAUAACCUUGGUUGAAAAGCCUGGGUAAUCUUUUGAACUUUCGUCGUGAUGGGGCUAGACCCUUGCAAUUAUUGGUCUCCAACGAGGAAUUCCUAGUAAGCACAAGUCAUCAGCUUGUGUUGAUUACGUCCCUGCCCUUUGUACACACCGCCCGUCGCUCCUACCGAUUGAAUGUUCCGGUGAGCUCUUCGGACUGCGCGGUCUGCAGUUUCUGCGUUCCGUGCGGAAAGUUGCGCAAACCUUAACAUUUAGAGGAAGGAGAAGUCGUAACA